rnacentral:rRNA from 1 species
UACGUAGGGGGCAAGCGUUGUCCGGAAUCACUGGGCGUAAAGGGCGCGUAGGCGGCCAAUUAAGUCAGUUGUGAAAUACCUCUGCUUAACGGAGGGGGGUCAGUUGAAACUGAUUGGCUGGAGUGCAGGAGAGGAAAGUGGAAUUCCACGUGUAGCGGUGAAAUGCGUAGAUAUGUGGAGGAACACCAGUGGCGAAGGCGACUUUCUGGACUGUAACUGACGCUGAGGCGCGAAAGCGUGGGGAGCAAACAGG